rnacentral:rRNA from 1 species
UACGUAGGGUGCGAGCGUUAAUCGGAAUUACUGGGCGUAAAGCGUGCGCAGGCGGUUCUCCAAGUCCGUUGUGAAAGCCCCGGGCUCAACCUGGGAAUGGCAGUGGAAACUAGGGGACUGGAAUCUGGCAGAGGGGGGUGGAAUGCCGCGUGUAGCAGUGAAAUGCGUAGAGAUGCGGAGGAACACCGAUGGCGCAGGCAGCCCCCUGGGCUAGCACUGACGCUCAGGCACGAAAGCGUGGGGAGCAAACAGG